rnacentral:lncRNA from 1 species
GAAAUUCUUGCAAUAUUAUCUUUCUAUGCAAUCAUAGACUCAAUUUAUUCACGUUUUUUGCAGCAAUUAUAUACAAAAGCUAGCCAGUUAUUGUCACCUUUUCUCUUUUGCAUUCUUUUGUAUAGAAUUUUUUUUUUUUUUUUGGAUAUUGCCAAUAGUAAAAAGAUCCCAAGUCGAUCAUGGCUCCAUUCCUAGCCAUAGCAGCUAUGCAAGAAUACUUAGCCUUGAUCACAUCCUUUCUACGCUUGCAUUUAUAGCCUUGAUCAUGUCUUCUUCAUUGCAACAUGUCUCGCGUGCACUAAUCCUUCUCCUUCCCAUUUCUUCUCCUUCCACUUCAUGGCCAUGUUCUGUCCUGAGCAGCGUGCAUAUAUAUCAUUCCACAUUCUCUCCAGACACUUCACCUCCCUUUCCCUUCUGUUGUAAAGCAAGAAACAGGAUGAGCAUCUGUGAUUAGAAAAUCUCAUAUGGCUACAAGUUUGAGUAAUGCUUUUCUUUUUCGCUUUGCUUUUGAUCAAAAUAUCAUUUGCAAAGAACAUGUUACAAGAGGAGCAAUAAAUAACACAAAUUUAUCGGAUUCCACUUUUCCAUCUCUAAUGCAUGCAAAAUUUCUAGUAAAGAUUUUUAUGAAAGUCCAAUAUCUAAUUUUUAUACAGUAAUUUUAUUUAAUCAUAUAUAACUCCUUAACUACAUAUAAUUCCCAAAUUAUGAAUACCUCAUUUGUUUUUUUCAUUACUGAAGCUCAAACCAUUCACAUGCUACUAACUUGAUUAGCCAUGCAAUUCAUUUGUUACUGUAAGAAAAACCACUCAUGCAUUCUGUACACAACAGGUCUUGCCAUGAAGAUGCAUAAGACAAGACCGUAGGGAUGGAGUUAUUCCUGUCAACAAAAUCCUUCUCAAACCCAGAAUCAAAAUUGAUUAAGAGCACCUUAGAGGGAUUUGUUUUUGUGAAGAUACAAACUGAACCCAAACAAUAUUUGUAAACUCUCCUUAUGAGUACCAUCCAUCAUUGUCAUCAUAAGCUUUCUACUGUAUUUAUUGUAUUGGUAUCUACAUGAGCAAUUUAGACUUAUGGGCUUUAUGAGAACUAUUUAUUAAAAAAAAUUUAAACAUGUAUUAAUGGAAAAUAAUUAAGGAAAAAAAAAAAAGAGCUUCUAUGAAUCCGAUGAAAUAAACCUGUCCUAUCCCCACGUAAAUGGCGUUGGCCAUUCCCAGCUAGUCUCACUGCAGCCCCCAGCAGUUGCACCGAGUGGGAUCAUAGCCCCCGGCCGUCUGGUGACACCAUCUUGUUUGCAUCUCCUCGGGCGAGGAGCUGACCCGGAGAUUUUUCGCCAGACGAUCUCCCUGCCGGCAAAAUGGGUGGCUGCAAGGUCCAAGAAAGCCGCUGGCUCGCCAUCUUCGGGCAAGCCGUGGGAGAAGGCCGAGCUGCCUGUUUCUUAGGUACGGAUGGUAUGGGACGGAGGAUGGCAUCGAUUGGAUCCUCUCUAAUUGCUUCGAGUUCGUCGAUGCCUGGAGGAAGAUUGAUGGUGGCUCUUUAGGCUUCAUGCGUGUCUAUCGCAGUGGCUUGGUUGGGUGUGUUUCAUCUGAAGGCUUGUUGGCUCCUGGUUGGUUUUGGUGAAUGAACCCGAAGGUGUAC